rnacentral:rRNA from 1 species
ACUUUGAAAAGAGAGUCAAAAGUGCUUGAAAUUGUUGAGGGGGAAGGAAUUGGAAGCCGUUUGUGCGCCUGGGCUUAAGUGGGCAAUUCUGCCCAUUGUACGCCUUAGGUGCCGGUCAGCAUCGGCUACUGGACCGGGAUAAUAACUUUCCAUUGGAGAGUGCAUGCCGGCCCGGUGGCCGAGGAUUUGAAAGGUGCUCUUUGAGUCCUUCGGGAACUGCGCCUUCAAGAUGCUGGCAAAAGGCCUUCAAUUCGCCCGUCUUGGAACACGGACCAAGGAGUCUAACAUGUAUGCGAGCCGGUGGGUUUAACACCCAUGAGACGCAAGUAACCUGACUGGUGGGAUGGCUUAUGCCUGCACCAUCGACCGACCAUGAUCUUCUGUGAAAGGUUUGAGUACGAGCAUACCUGUUGGGACCCGAAAGAUGGUGAACUAUGCCUGAGCAGGGCGAAGCCAGGGGAAACUCUGGUGGAGGCUCGUAGAUGUGCUGACGUGCAAAUCGCUUUUCGGACUUGGGUAUAGGGGCGAAAGACUAAUCGAACCAUCUAGUAGCUGGUUCCCUCCGAAGUUUCCCUCAGGAUAGCUGGAGCUCGGGCGCGAGUUCUAUCGGGUAAAGCCAAUGAUUAGAGGCAUCGGGGGCGCAACGCCCUCGACCUAUUCUCAAACUUUAAAU